CACGUAGGGGCCAAGCGUUGUCCGGAUUUAUUGGGCGUAAAGAGCUCGUAGGCGGUUCGCCAAGUCGGGUGUGAAAACUCCGGGCUCAACCCGGAGACGCCACCCGAUACUGUCGUGACUGGAGUCCGGUAGGGGAGUGGGGAAUUCCUGGUGUAGCGGUGAAAUGCGCAGAUAUCAGGAGGAACACCGGUGGCGAAGGCGCCACUCUGGGCCGGUACUGACGCUGAGGAGCGAAAGCGUGGGUAGCAAACAGG
rnacentral:rRNA from 1 species